GGCUUGCCUCUAGGAACUAAUUAGCGGCGGACGGGUGAGUAACGCGUGGGUAACCUGCCUUGUACAGAGGGAUAGCCGCUGGAAACGGUGAUUAAAACCUCAUAAAGCUAUGAUUUCACAUGGGAUUAUAGCCUAAACUCCGGUGGUACAAGAUGGACCCGCGUCUGAUUAGCUAGUUGGUAGGGUAAAAGCCUACCAAGGCGACGAUCAGUAGCCGACCUGAGAGGGUGAUCGGCCACACUGGAACUGAGACACGGUCCAGACUCCUACGGGAGGCAGCAGUGGGGAAUAUUGCACAAUGGGCGAAAGCCUGAUGCAGCAACGCCGCGUGAGCGAAGAAGGCCUUCGGGUCGUAAAACUCUGUCCUAAGGGAAGAAGGAUGACGGUACCUUAGGAGGAAGCCCCGGCUAACUACGUGCCAGCAGCCGCGGUAAUACGUAGGGGGCGAGCGUUAUCCGGAAUAACUGGGCGUAAAGGGUGAGUAGGCGGCCAGAUAAGCCAGGGGUGAAAGACUGCGGCUUAACCGCAGUAAGCCUUUGGAACUGUAUGGCUUGAGUGCAGGAGAGGAGAGUGGAAUUCCUAGUGUAGCGGUGAAAUGCGUA
rnacentral:rRNA from 1 species